rnacentral:rRNA from 1 species
UACGUAGGGCGCAAGCGUUGUCCGGAUUUAUUGGGCGUAAAGAGCGUGUAGGCGGCCUGAAAGGUCAGCUGUGAAAACUCGAGGCUCAACCUCGAGACGUCGGUUGAAACCAUCUGGCUAGAGUCCGGAAGAGGAGUGUGGAAUUCCCGGUGUAGCGGUGAAAUGACGCAGAUAUCGGGAAGAACACCCGUGGCGAAGGCGGCACUCUGGGACGGUACUGACGCUGAGACGCGAAAGCGUGGGGAGCGAACAGG